GACGAACGCUGGCGGCGUGCUUAACACAUGCAAGUCGAACGGAAAGGCCCUGCUUUUGUGGGGUGCUCGAGUGGCGAACGGGUGAGUAACACGUGAGUAACCUGCCCUUGACUUUGGGAUAACUUCAGGAAACUGGGGCUAAUACCGGAUAGGAGCUCCUGCUGCAUGGUGGGGGUUGGAAAGUUUCGGCGGUUGGGGAUGGACUCGCGGCUUAUCAGCUUGUUGGUGGGGUAGUGGCUUACCAAGGCUUUGACGGGUAGCCGGCCUGAGAGGGUGACCGGCCACAUUGGGACUGAGGUACGGCCCAGACUCCUACGGGAGGCAGCAGUGGGGAAUAUUGCACAAUGGGCGGAAGCCUGAUGCAGCGGCGCCGCGUGCGGGAUGACGGCCUUCGGGUUGUAAACCGCUUUCGCCUGUGACGAAGCGUGAGUGACGGUAAUGGGUGAAGAAGCACCGGCUAACUACGUG
rnacentral:rRNA from 1 species